CGUCUAUAUACGUAUAGCAUAUCAAUAAGCGGAGGAAAAGAAACUAACAAGGAUUCCCUUAGUAACGGCGAGUGAAGCGGGAAGAGCUCAAAUUUGAAAUCUUCAAGGUUCUACCUUGACGAAUUGUAGUUUAAAGAAGUGUUUUCUGUUGAAGUUUGGUCAAAAGUUCUUUGGAAUAGGACAUCAUAGAGGGUGAGAAUCCCGUAUUUGUACCAUUCUCCUAGCUGUUGUGAUACACUUUCAACGAGUCGGAUUGUUUGGGAAUGCAGUCCAAAAUGGGUGGUAAAUUUCAUCUAAAGCUAAAUAUUGGCGAGAGACCGAUAGCGAACAAGUACCGUGAGGGAAAGAUGAAAAGAACUUUGAAAAGAGAGUUAAACAGUACGUGAAAUUGUCAAAAGGGAAGCGUUUGACACCAGUGUUGUUUUUCCGAAAAUCAAUUACGAAUGUUUUAUUUUUGAGGAGUUAUGACUUCAUCGGCUUGCUCCUUUCUUUAUGAAACUUUCUUAAUGCACCUUUUCGGUUAACAAGUCAACAUCAAUUUCUUUUGUUGUAAAAGGGUAUGAGGAAGGUGGCUUUCUUUUCGGAGAAAGUGUUUAUAGCCUUGUAGCCUCUGCAAUCGGAGAGAUUGAGGUCUGCAGCGUAGAUCCUUCGGGGUUAGAUACAUUUGUGCUAAGUUAUAGCUUUUCAUAGACAACUUGUUGACUAUGUUUAGUCUUGUAGCUUACUCGCUUACUGCUAUUUUACCUACGCUUAGGAUGUUGAUAUGCAUGACUGAUAU
rnacentral:rRNA from 1 species